rnacentral:rRNA from 1 species
GAUGAACGCUGGCGGCGUGCCUAAUACAUGCAAGUAGAACGCUGAAGGAGGAGCUUGCUCUUCUGGAUGAGUUGCGAACGGGUGAGUAACGCGUAGGUAACCUGCCUGGUAGCGGGGGAUAACUAUUGGAAACGAUAGCUAAUACCGCAUGACAACAGUUAUUGCAUGAUAACUGUUUAAAAGGGGCAACUGCUCCACUACCAGAUGGACCUGCGUUGUAUUAACUAGUUGGUGAGGUAACGGCUCACCAAGGCGACGAUACAUAGCCGACCUGAGAGGGUGAUCGGCCACACUGGGACUGAGACACGGCCCAGACCCCUACGGGAGGCAGCAGUAGGGAAUCUUCGGCAAUGGACGGAAGUCUGACCGAGCAACGCCGCGUGAGUGAAGAAGGUUUUCGGAUCGUAAAGCUCUGUUGUAAGAGAAGAACGAGUGUGAGAGUGGAAAGUUCACACUGUGACGGUAUCUUACCAGAAAGGGACGGCUAACUACGUG